rnacentral:rRNA from 1 species
AGUGAACGCUGGCGGCGUGCCUAAUACAUGCAAGUCGAACGGCAGGACAGUAAGAUCUUGCCUCUGAGGGUGGCGGGGGACGGACGGGUGAGGAAUACAUCGGAAUCUACUUUUACGGGGGGGAUAACGGAGGGACACAUAUGCUAAUACAGCAUAUGUUCUACCGCUGGAAUCAGUGGAUCUUCGCACUUUUCGCGAUUGAUUUAGACGAUGUGGGAUUAGCUAGUUGGCGAGGUAAAGGCCCACCAAGGCGACGAUCCGUAGCUGGUCUGAGAGGAUGAUCAGCCACACUGGAACUGAGACACGGUCCAGACUCCUACGGGAGGCAGCAGUAGGGAAUAUUGGACAAUGGGCGAAAGCCUGAUCCAGCAAUGCCGCGUGGGUGAAGAAGGCCUUCGGAUUGUAAAGCCCUUUUAUUGGGAAAGAAAAACUGUAGAAUAAUCCCCCGAUGUUCUGACGGUACCCAAAGAGAAAGCACCGGCUAACUUCGUG